CUGAGCGGUGACGCAGCCCAGGAGGAAGGGGAUGAGGGGAAGAGAGGCCCUGGUCGCGGGGCGUGCAGUGAGCGCAUCUCUAAGGGGAAGAAGCUUAAGGCCCGUAAGGAGGCCGUUCAGAAUGAGGUGUACUCGGGACUUCCCAUAUUCCUCUUCUACGUCAAACGCACGCGGUGCCUGGCGGAGAUCACUUUCAAGGUCCUGAGAACGCAGCCAUGGAGCGGGGACACCCCACGGCUCCCGAGCUGAGAAGCUCUUGGAGGGAGAGGAGAAACGGGUGCAGAAGGAGAGGGAAGAGGAAGAGCUGAACAAUCCCGUGAAGGUGCUGAAGCCUGGCUGGCCCUGCUGGUGUCCUGCUCCCUGCCCGUCUGUCUCUGUUUCACUGUCCUGGUCCCUGUCCUUCUCUGCCCCCCUCUCUUUCCCCUUCCCCAUCCCUGCUCUUCCUUUUGCUGUCUCCUCCUCCCUCUCUUUCUCUCCCUGUCCUGCCGCCUUCCCCGUGGUUUCCCACCAUAUCCCUGUCCCGCCGGCUCUGCCCUUUUCCAUCUCUGCUUGCGUCCUGCUCCCUUUUCCUUAUUUUCUGCUUCCUGCGGCCCAGGAGCUGACCGCUGCCCACGGGAUGGACAAACGAAAGCUGCUCCGGGCCUGACCUCCGAGGUGCCCCAGGGGAAGGGGCCGAGCCCUGCAGCAGCCUCCCUCCCGGGAGGGAGUUACACGCGGGAGUUAAUAAAGAGACGGCUUUGCUUGCUUGCA